GGAUGAACGCUAGCUACAGGCUUAACACAUGCAAGUCGAGGGUCAGCAUGGUCUUAGCUUGCUAAGGCCGAUGGCGACCGGCGCACGGGUGAGUAACGCGUAUCCAACCUGCCUUACACUCUUGGACAGCCUUCUGAAAGGGAGAUUAAUACAAGAUGUUAUCAUGAGUAAGCAUUUUCGCAUGAUUAAAGGUUUACCGGUGUAAGAUGGGGAUGCGUUCCAUUAGAUAGUAGGCGGGGUAACGGCCCACCUAGUCUUCGAUGGAUAGGGGUUCUGAGAGGAAGGUCCCCCACAUUGGAACUGAGACACGGUCCAAACUCCUACGGGAGGCAGCAGUGAGGAAUAUUGGUCAAUGGACGAGAGUCUGAACCAGCCAAGUAGCGUGAAGGAUGAAGGUUCUAUGGAUUGUAAACUUCUUUUAUACGGGAAUAAACGAAUCCACGCGUGGAUUUUUGCAUGUACCGUAUGAAUAAGGAUCGGCUAACUCCGUGCCAGCAGCCGCGGUAAUACGGAGGAUCCGAGCGUUAUCCGGAUUUAUUGGGUUUAAAGGGAGCGUAGAUGGGUUGUUAAGUCAGUUGUGAAAGUUUGCGGCUCAACCGUAAAAUUGCAAUUGAUACUGGCAGUCUUGAGUACAGUUGAGGUAGGCGGAAUUCGUGGUGUAGCGGUGAAAUGCUUAGAUAUCACGAAGAACUCCGAUUGCGAAGGCAGCUUACUAACCUGUAACUGACAUUGAUGCUCGAAAGUGUGGGUAUCAAACAGGAUUAGAUACCCUGGUAGUCCACACGGUAAACGAUGAAUACUCGCUGUAGGCGAUAUACAGUCUGCGGCCAAGCGAAAGCAUUAAGUAUUCCACCUGGGGAGUACGCCGGCAACGGUGAAACUCAAAGGAAUUGACGGGGGCCCGCACAAGCGGAGGAACAUGUGGUUUAAUUCGAUGAUACGCGAGGAACCUUACCCGGGCUUAAAUUGCAACCGAAUAUGGCGGAAACGCUAUAGCUAGCAAUAGCGGUUGUGAAGGUGCUGCAUGGUUGUCGUCAGCUCGUGCCGUGAGGUGUCGGCUUAAGUGCCAUAACGAGCGCAACCCUUGCCGAUAGUUACUAACAGGUUAUGCUGAGGACUCUGUCGGGACUGCCAUCGUAAGAUGUGAGGAAGGUGGGGAUGACGUCAAAUCAGCACGGCCCUUACGUCCGGGGCUACACACGUGUUACAAUGGGGGGUACAGAGGGCUGCUACCACGCAAGUGGAUGCCAAUCCCAAAAACCUCUCUCAGUUCGGAUUGAAGUCUGCAACCCGACUUCAUGAAGCUGGAUUCGCUAGUAAUCGCGCAUCAGCCACGGCGCGGUGAAUACGUUCCCGGGCCUUGUACACACCGCCCGUCAAGCCAUGGGAGCCGGGGGUACCUGAAGUGCGUAACCGCAAGGAGCGCCCUAGGGUA
rnacentral:rRNA from 1 species